UACGGAGGGGGCUAGCGUUGUUCGGAAUUACUGGGCGUAAAGGGCGCGCAGGCGGCUUUGUUUGUCAGGCGUGAAAGCCCCGGGCUUAACCUGGGAACUGCGUUUGAUACGGCAGGGCUAGAGUUCGGGAGAGGAGAGUGGAAUUCCCAGUGUAGAGGUGAAAUUCGUAGAUAUUGGGAAGAACACCGGUGGCAAAGGCGGCUCUCUGGACCGAUACUGACGCUGAGGCGCGAAAGCGUGGGGAGCAAACAGG
rnacentral:rRNA from 1 species